UUCAGAUUCAGACCUCCACUAAGGCCCCAUUUGUUUGCACUUAAUGGGGGUCUGAAUCUGAAUGGUUAAGAUUUCAGCCCAUUAAGUGCAUUAGUUUUUCUUUUUUUUUUAUAAAAAAAGUAGUCUCUUAAUACUUUUGGAAACAUCUGACUCGGUCAGAUUUAAAAAAGAAUCUUAAUGGGAUUCAGACUCUUAAAAAUGCCUAAUUUAUUUGCUUAAAAAGCUCACACGUAUGUUUUUUUCUCUCUCUUUAUAAUUUACGCUUCUCUCUCUCUCUCUCUCUCUCUCUCUCUCUCUCUCUCUCUCUCUUUAUAAUUUAUCCUUCUCUCUUUAUCCACAAGUAUUAAUGAGGCUCUAUCUCACUCUUUAUCAGUAAGCUAUUCAUCAAAUUCUUUCUUCUCGAACAGGAAGGAGCGCAUCAAUGAUGACUUGUUUAAUCAUAUUUUGAUACGCCUCGAGUGAUAUUUGAUGAAGAAGGACAACAAGAAGAAGCAUUCAAAUGGACCUAGUUGGACAGUUGAAGAUUCUCGGAUAAUGACCGAUAUGCGGGAGCAACUUGCACUCCGACUAAUGCAAAGAAGAUGAAAUACUUGAGAGUUCUAUACCUUAGUUAUUUGAUUUUUUUUCCAGUGUUGGAGUGUUACAAUUUGAUGAUUGUUAGUUAAUUAUUCAAAUACUCGAAUAUUUAUGUGUCUAAAUCAGAACUGUAUUUGAGGUAUUGUUUUACUUUGUUGGAUAAGUUUGAUUUAUA